rnacentral:rRNA from 1 species
AACGAACGCUGGCGGCAGGCUUAACACAUGCAAGUCGAACGGUUGUAGCAAUACAGCAGUGGCAGACGGGUGAGUAACACGUGGGAACCUUCCUAGGGGUACGGAACAACUCAGGGAAACUUGAGCUAAUACCGUAUACGUCCGUGAGGAGAAAGAUUUAUCGCCCUUAGACGGGCCCGCGUCGGAUUAGCUAGUUGGUGGGGUAACGGCCUACCAAGGCGACGAUCCGUAGCUGAUCUUAGAGGAUGAUCAGCCACACUGGGACUGAGACACGGCCCAGACUCCUACGGAGGCAGCAGUGGGGAAUCUUGGACAAUGGGCGCAAGCCUGAUCCAGCCAUGCCGCGUGAGUGAAGAAGGUCUUCGGAUUGUAAAGCUCUUUUGCCAGGGACGAUAAUGACGGUACCUGGAGAAUAAGCCCCGGCAAACUUCGUGCCAGCAGCCGCGGUAAU